UAGUUACUCUCUCCGUUUGAAAAUACCUGUCUUAGGAAUGGAUAUAUCUAGACGUAUUUUAAAUUUAGAUAGAUCAAUCUUUAUCCAUUUCUUCUAUAAGUAUUUCCAGACGAAGGAAGUAUACU
rnacentral:pre_miRNA from 1 species